GCCCGGUUAAUUAAAUUUGGUAGAGCAACAGACUUUUAAUCUGGGGCCAUGGGUUCGAGUCCCAUAUCGGGCU